rnacentral:tRNA from 5 species
GGUUCGGUAGCUCAGUUGGUAGAGCAAUGGACUGAAAAUCCAUGUGUCGACGGUUCGAUUCCGCCCCGAACCACCA